AACGAACGCUGGCGGCAGGCUUAAUACAUGCGAGUCGAGCGGGCACUUCGGUGUCAGCGGCGCACGGGUGCGUAACGCGUGGGAACAUGCCUUUAGGUACGGAACAACCAAGGGAAACUUUGGCUAAUACCGUAUAAUAUCUCUGGAUCAAAGAUUUAUCGCCUAAAGAUUGGCCCGCGUUAGAUUAGGUAGUUGGUGGGGUAAUGGCCUACCAAGCCGACGAUCUAUAGGGGGUCUGAGAGGAUGAUCCCCCACACUGGAACUGAGACACGGUCCAGACUCCUACGGGAGGCAGCAGUAAGGAAUAUUGGACAAUGGGCGAAAGCCUGAUCCAGCCAUGCCGCGUGAGUGAUGAAGGCCUUAGGGUUGUAAAGCUCUUUUAGAUGGGAAGAUAAUGACUGUACCAUCAGAAUAAGCCCCGGCUAAAUUCGUG
rnacentral:rRNA from 1 species